AUGUCCAGCUUCCGGGUUCAGUCAUGUUCCGGUUGUUGGAAGCAGCCCGGUGUGUGUCAGGGCGGAAUCACAUUGAGAGCUCUUCUAAAGCCAGAGCCUACACCUGCUUCUAGGCCAACUGCGAGACUCAGAGGCCGACCCGGGAGAGUUGCUUUACACCUGGCUGCCAAUGGGAGAGCUGAUUCUGUGAAGCCUGAGGUGUCGGACUCUGGAUGGAACCCAUACUCUCAGCCACAAUGCAGUGUCACUUCAGUUAGGAACACUGUGGCCCCGGAGGUUGUUUAGCCCACAACCUGACAGAACCAUCGGCUGACUUCUCUUAUUCUUGGCCAGUC
rnacentral:lncRNA from 1 species